GAAAGCCUUCGGCUUAACCGAAGAAGUGCAUCGGAAACCGGGCGACUUGAGUGCAGAAGAGGACAGUGGAACUCCAUGUGUAGCGGUGGAAUGCGUAGAUAUAUGGAAGAACACCAGUGGCGAAGGCGGCUGUCUGGUCUGCAACUGACGCUGAGGCUCGAAAGCAUGGGUAGCGAACAGGAUUAGAUACCCUGGUAGUCCAUGCCGUAAACGAUGAGUGCUAGGUGUUGGAGGGUUUCCGCCCUUCAGUGCCGGAGCUAACGCAUUAAGCACUCCGCCUGGGGAGUACGACCGCAAGGUUGAAACUCAAAGGAAUUGACGGGGGCCCGCACAAGCGGUGGAGCAUGUGGUUUAAUUCGAAGCUACGCGAAGAACCUUACCAGGUCUUGACAUCUUGCGCUAACCUUAGAGAUAAGGCGUUCCCUUCGGGGACGCAAUGACAGGUGGUGCAUGGUCGUCGUCAGCUCGUGUCGUGAGAUGU
rnacentral:rRNA from 2 species